AUGAGGAUUUGGCUCCAUUUUGGUUUCAUUGUAGCGGCUCUGGAAGGCGCCCGGUCCCAGGUGCAGCUGCUGGAGUCUGGAGGGGAUGUGAAAAAGCCCGGAGACUCUCUCCGCCUCUCCUGCAAAGCCUCUGGGUUCACCUUCGGUGACUACUGGAUGAGCUGGGUCCGACAAGCUCCUGGCAACGGCCUGGAGUGGGUCGCAGCUAUAAGCUAUUGGGCCGGCAGUACUAUACAUUACGCCAACGCGGUCAAAGGCCGAUUCACCAUCUCCAGAGACAAUGCCAACAGCCUGUUGUAUCUGCAAAUGACAGGCCUGAAGCCCGAGGACACCGCCCUGUAUUAUUGUGCCAAACACACAGAGGGGCGAAGCCGGUCUGAGCUCAGACAAAAACCUCCCGUUGCGGUUG